rnacentral:rRNA from 1 species
GACGAACGCUGGCGGCGUGCCUAAUACAUGCAAGUCGAACGGUCUUUUCUAUGGAAGCUUGCUUCCGCUGAGAAGAUAGUGGCGAACGGGUGAGUAACACGUGGGUAACCUGCCCAUAAGAGGGGGAUAACAUCCGGAAACGGGUGCUAAUACCGCAUAGUUUUCUUGAUCGCAUGAUUGAGAAAGGAAAGACGGCCUUUGUGCUGUCGCUUAUGGAUGGACCCGCGGCGUAUUAGUUAGUUGGUGAGGUAACGGCUCACCAAGACGAUGAUACGUAGCCGACCUGAGAGGGUGAUCGGGCACAUUGGGCCUGAGACACGGCCGAAACUCCAACGGGAGGCAGCAGUAGGGAAUCUUCCGCAAUGGACGAAAGUCUGACGGAGCAACGCCGCGUGAGUGAAGAAGGUUUUCGGAUCGUAAAACUCUGUUGUCAGAGAAGAACAAGUCGGAGAGUAACUGCUCCGGCCUUGACGGUAUCUGACCAGAAAGCCACGGCUAACUACGUGCCAGCAGCCGCGGUAAGAC